rnacentral:lncRNA from 12 species
UUUAUCUUUAGCUAAUAGCUCCCUGACAGUUUCUCUGGACAUUUAGGGAUGCCUCCUUGUUGAAAAACCUCUUCAUGUUUUUUUUAAGACAUCGGCACACCCUAUGACUUCACCAACAACCGACUGCUAUGGAAAGAACAGGGAAACACAGAGCUCAUUUCUGCAGGGAGGAAUGGAAAGCUUUCCUGGCCAGAAAGGUUUCAUCUCAACAAACUUGAAAAAAAGGAGGGGCAUGAGAAGAACAUAUACCAAAAUUGUGCUGACAUUUUCAAUAACCACAAUGGAGGUGGUGUUAGUGUUGUUAUUCCAAGACUGUUCUGUGAUUAAAAUUGGAUGAAAUGGGUAAGAAAUGAUGCUAUAUUCUAAUUCUGUCACCUGCUGUGCCCUUGAAAGCCGGGAUUCCUGGAAUGGAAGAGAGGACAUAUUCAUGUAAUAAAAAGAGGUCAAAUAAAAGUCUUGACUUAAAA